UCGGAGAGUUUGAUCCUGGCUCAGGACGAACGCUGGCGGCGUGCCUAAUACAUGCAAGUCGAGCGGACAGAAGGGAGCUUGCUCCCGGAUGUUAGCGGCGGACGGGUGAGUAACACGUGGGUAACCUGCCUGUAAGACUGGGAUAACUCCGGGAAACCGGAGCUAAUACCGGAUAGUUCCUUGAACCGCAUGG
rnacentral:rRNA from 5 species